ACGGGAGGCAGCAGUGGGGAAUAUUGGACAAUGGACCAAGAGUCUGAUCCAGCAAUUCUGUGUGCACGAUGAAGUUUUUCGGAAUGUAAAGUGCUUUCAGUUGGGAAGAAAAAAAUGACGGUACCAACAGAAGAAGUGACGGCUAAAUACGUGCCAGCAGCCGCGGUAAUACGUAUGUCACGAGCGUUAUCCGGAUUUAUUGGGCGUAAAGCGCGUCUAGGUGGUUAUGUAAGUCUGAUGUGAAAAUGCAGGGCUCAACUCUGUAUUGCGUUGGAAACUGUAUAACUAGAGUACUGGAGAGGUAAGCGGAACUACAAGUGUAGAGGUGAAAUUCGUAGAUAUUUGUAGGAAUGCCGAUGGGGAAGCCAGCUUACUGGACAGAUACUGACGCUGAAGCGCGAAAGCGUGGGUAGCAAACAGGAUUAGAUACCCUGGUAGUCCACGCCGUAAACGAUGAUUACUAGGUGUUGGGGGUCGAACCUCAGCGCCCAAGCAAACGCGAUAAGUAAUCCGCCUGGGGAGUACGUACGCAAGUAUGAAACUCAAAGGAAUUGACGGGGGCCCGCACAAG
rnacentral:rRNA from 1 species